rnacentral:rRNA from 1 species
UACGUAGGGGGCAAGCGUUGUCCGGAAUCAUUGGGCGUAAAGCGCGUGUAGGCGGCUUGUUAAGUUGGUUGUGAAAACCCAUGGCUCAACCAUGGAAGGGCGUCCAAAACUGGCAAGCUAGAGUCCCGACGAGGAUGGCGGAAUUCCCAGUGUAGAGGUGAAAUUCGUAGAUAUUGGGAGGAACACCGGUGGCGAAGGCGGCCAUCUGGGAGGGCACUGACGCUGAGACGCGAAAGCGUGGGGAGCAAACAGG